CGACUAAAGCCAUGCGAGUCGAAUGUAGNNAUCCACAUGGCGUACUGCUNCAGUAACACGUGGACAACCUACCCUCUAGGCCUGGGAUAACCCCGGGAAGCUGGGAAUAAUACCGGAUAUAUCGCGAAUGCUGGAACGCGUCGCGAUAGAAAGCUCCCGGCGCCUAAGGAUGGGUCUGCGGCCUAUCAGGGUAGUAGUGGGUGUAAUGUACCUACUAGCCUACGACGGGUACGGGUUGUGAGAGCAAGAGCCCGGAGAUGGAUUCUGAGACACGAAUCCAGGCCCUACGGGGUGCAGCCAGAGCGCGAAAACUUUACAAUGCCGGCAACGGCGAUANNNUGUGGACCUCGAGUGCCAGGAUACCAAUCCUGGCUGUCGUAAUGCCUAAAAAGCAUUGCAUAGCAAGGGCCCGGGCAAGACCGGUGCCAGCCGCCGCGGUAANACCGGCGGCCGAGUGGUAACCGCUANUNAUUGGGUCUAAAGGGUUGU
rnacentral:rRNA from 1 species